rnacentral:rRNA from 1 species
UUAAGCGACUAAGCGUACACGGUGGAUGCCCUGGCAGUCAGAGGCGAUGAAGGACGUGCUAAUCUGCGAAAAGCGUCGGUAAGGUGAUAUGAACCGUUACAGCCGGCGAUGUCCGAAUGGGGAAACCCAGUGCAAUUCGUUGCACUAUCGUUAACUGAAUACAUAGGUUAACGAGGCGAACCGGGGGAACUGAAACAUCUAAGUACCCCGAGGAAAAGAAAUCAACCGAGAUUCCCCCAGUAGCGGCGAGCGAACGGGGAGCAGCCCAGAGUCUGAAUCAGCUUGUGUGUUAGUGGAACGGUCUGGAAAGUCCGACGGUACAGGGUGAUAGUCCCGUACACCAAAAUGCACAGGUUGUGAACUCGAAGAGUAGGGCGGGACACGUGGUAUCCUGUCUGAAUAUGGGGGGACCAUCCUCCAAGGCUAAAUACUCCUGACUGACCGAUAGUGAACCAGUACCGUGAGGGAAAGGCGAAAAGAACCCCGGCGAGGGGAGUGAAAAAGAACCUGAAACCGUGUACGUACAAGCAGUGGGAGCACCUUCGGGUGUGACUGCGUACCUUUUGUAUAAUGGGUCAGCGACUUAUAUUCUGUAGCAAGGUUAACCGUAUAGGGGAGCCGCAGGGAAACCGAGUCUUAACUGGGCGUUAAGUUGCAGGGUAUAGACCCGAAACCCGGUGAUCUAGCCAUGGGCAGGUUGAAGGUUGGGUAACACUAACUGGAGGACCGAACCGACUAAUGUUGAAAAAUUAGCGGAUGACUUGUGGCUGGGGGUGAAAGGCCAAUCAAACCGGGAGAUAGCUGGUUCUCCCCGAAAGCUAUUUAGGUAGCGCCUCGUGAAUUCAUCUUCGGGGGUAGAGCACUGUUUCGGCUAGGGGGUCAUCCCGACUUACCAACCCGAUGCAAACUACGAAUACCGAAGAAUGUUAUCACGGGAGACACACGGCGGGUGCUAACGUCCGUCGUGAAGAGGGAAACAACCCAGACCGCCAGCUAAGGUCCCAAAGUCAUGGUUAAGUGGGAAACGAUGUGGGAAGGCACAGACAGCCAGGAUGUUGGCUUAGAAGCAGCCAUCAUUUAAAGAAAGCGUAAUAGCUCACUGGUCGAGUCGGCCUGCGCGGAAGAUGUAACGGGGCUAAACCAUGCACCGAAGCUGCGGCAGCGACACUAUGUGUUGUUGGGUAGGGGAGCGUUCUGUAAGCCUGCGAAGGUGACCUGUGAGGGUUGCUGGAGGUAUCAGAAGUGCGAAUGCUGACAUAAGUAACGAUAAAGCGGGUGAAAAGCCCGCUCGCCGGAAGACCAAGGGUUCCUGUCCAACGUUAAUCGGGGCAGGGUGAGUCGACCCCUAAGGCGAGGCCGAAAGGCGUAGUCGAUGGGAAACAGGUUAAUAUUCCUGUACUUGGUGUUACUGCGAAGGGGGGACGGAGAAGGCUAUGUUAGCCGGGCGACGGUUGUCCCGGUUUAAGCAUGUAGGCUGGUUAUCCAGGCAAAUCCGGAUAAUCAAGGCUGAGGUGUGAUGACGAGGCACUACGGUGCUGAAGUAACAAAUGCCCUGCUUCCAGGAAAAGCCUCUAAGCAUCAGGUAACAUUAAAUCGUACCCCAAACCGACACAGGUGGUCAGGUAGAGAAUACCAAGGCGCUUGAGAGAACUCGGGUGAAGGAACUAGGCAAAAUGGUGCCGUAACUUCGGGAGAAGGCACGCUGGUGUGUAGGUGAAGUCCCUGCGGAUGGAGCUGAGACCAGUCGAAGAUACCAGCUGGCUGCAACUGUUUAUUAAAAACACAGCACUGUGCAAACACGAAAGUGGACGUAUACGGUGUGACGCCUGCCCGGUGCCGGAAGGUUAAUUGAUGGGGUUAUCCGUAAGGAGAAGCUCUUGAUCGAAGCCCCGGUAAACGGCGGCCGUAACUAUAACGGUCCUAAGGUAGCGAAAUUCCUUGUCGGGUAAGUUCCGACCUGCACGAAUGGCGUAAUGAUGGCCAGGCUGUCUCCACCCGAGACUCAGUGAAAUUGAACUCGCUGUGAAGAUGCAGUGUACCCGCGGCAAGACGGAAAGACCCCGUGAACCUUUACUAUAGCUUGACACUGAACAUUGAGCCUUGAUGUGUAGGAUAGGUGGGAGGCUUUGAAGCGUGGACGCCAGUCUGCGUGGAGCCAACCUUGAAAUACCACCCUUUAAUGUUUGAUGUUCUAACGUUGGCCCCUGACCGGGGUUGCGGACAGUGUCUGGUGGGUAGUUUGACUGGGGCGGUCUCCUCCCAAAGCGUAACGGAGGAGCACGAAGGUUAGCUAAUCCUGGUCGGACAUCAGGAGGUUAGUGCAAUGGCAUAAGCUAGCUUGACUGCGAGCGUGACGGCGCGAGCAGGUGCGAAAGCAGGUCAUAGUGAUCCGGUGGUUCUGAAUGGAAGGGCCAUCGCUCAACGGAUAAAAGGUACUCCGGGGAUAACAGGCUGAUACCGCCCAAGAGUUCAUAUCGACGGCGGUGUUUGGCACCUCGAUGUCGGCUCAUCACAUCCUGGGGCUGAAGUAGGUCCCAAGGGUAUGGCUGUUCGCCAUUUAAAGUGGUACGCGAGCUGGGUUUAGAACGUCGUGAGACAGUUCGGUCCCUAUCUGCCGUGGGCGCUGGAGAAUUGAGGGGGGCUGCUCCUAGUACGAGAGGACCGGAGUGGACGCAUCACUGGUGUUCGGGUUGUCAUGCCAAUGGCACUGCCCGGUAGCUAAAUGCGGAAGAGAUAAGUGCUGAAAGCAUCUAAGCACGAAACUUGCCCCGAGAUGAGUUCUCCCUGAGACUUUAAGUCUCCUGAAGGAACGUUGAAGACGACGACGUUGAUAGGCCGGGUGUGUAAGCGCAGCGAUGCGUUGAGCUAACCGGUACUAAUGAACCGUGAGGCUUAACCUU